GACGAACGCUGGCGGCGUGCCUAAUACAUGCAAGUAGAACGCUGAAGAGAGGAGCUUCCUCUUCUUGGAUGAGUUGCGAACGGGUGAGUAACGCGUAGGUAACCUGCCUUGUAGCGGGGGAUAACUAUUGGAAACGAUAGCUAAUACCGCAUAACAAUGGAUGACACAUGUCAUUUAUUUGAAAGGGGCAAUUGCUCCACUACAAGAUGGACCUGCGUUGUAUUAGCUAGUAGGUGAGGUAAUGGCUCACCUAGGCGACGAUACAUAGCCGACCUGAGAGGGUGAUCGGCCACACUGGGACUGAGACACGGCCCAGACUCCUACGGGAGGCAGCAGUAGGGAAUCUUCGGCAAUGGGGGCAACCCUGACCGUGCAACGCCGCGUGAGUGAAGAAGGGUUUCGGAUCGUAAAGCUCUGUUGUAAGUCAAGAACGGGUGUGAGAGUGGAAAGUUCACACUGUGACGGUAGCUUACCAGAAAGGGACGGCUAACUACGUG
rnacentral:rRNA from 1 species